UGCCUACGGGGCGCAGCAGUAGGGAAUCUUCCACAAUGGACGAAAGUCUGAUGGAGCAACGCCGCGUGAGUGAAGAAGGGUUUCGGCUCGUAAAGCUCUGUUGGUAGUGAAGAAAGAUAGAGGUAGUAACUGGCCUUUAUUUGACGGUAAUUACUUAGAAAGUCACGGCUAACUACGUGCCAGCAGCCGCGGUAAUACGUAGGGGGCAAGCGUUGUCCGGAUUUAUUGGGCGUAAAGCGAGGGCAGGCGGGUCCAAAA
rnacentral:rRNA from 1 species